GACGAACGCUGGCGGCGUGCCUAAUACAUGCAAGUUGAGCGCUGAAGGUUGGUACUUGUACCAACUGGAUGAGCAGCGAACGGGUGAGUAACGCGUGGGGAAUCUGCCUUUGAGCGGGGGACAACAUUUGGAAACGAAUGCUAAUACCGCAUAAAAACUUUAAACACAAGUUUUAAGUUUGAAAGAUGCAAUUGCAUCACUCAAAGAUGAUCCCGCGUUGUAUUAGCUAGUUGGUGAGGUAAAGGCUCACCAAGGCGAUGAUACAUAGCCGACCUGAGGGGGUGAUCGGCCACAUUGGGACUGAGACACGGCCCAAACUCCUACGGGAGGUAGCAGUAGGGAAUCUUCGGCAAUGGACGAAAGUCUGACCGAGCAACGCCGCGUGAGUGAAGAAGGUUUUCGGAUCGUAAAACUCGGUUGGUAGAGAAGAACGUUGGUGAGAGUGGAAAGCUCAUCAAGUGACGGUAACUACCCAGAAAGGGACGGCUAACUACGUG
rnacentral:rRNA from 1 species